rnacentral:rRNA from 1 species
CGUAGGGUGCGUAGCGUUAAUCGGAAUUACUGGGCGUAAAGCGUGCGCAGGCGGUUUUGUAAGACAGAUGUCGAAAUCCCCGGGCUCAACCUGGGACCUGCAUUUGUGACUGCAAGGCUAGAGUACGGUAGAGGGGGAUGGAAUUCCGCGUGUAGCAGUGAAAUGCGUAGAUAUGCGGAGGAACACCGAUGGCGAAGGCAAUCCCCUGGACCUGUACUGACGCUCAUGCACGAAAGCGUGGGGAGCAAACAGGAUUAGAUACCCUGGUAGUCCACGCCCUAAACGAUGUCAACUGGUUGUUGGGUCUUUACUGACUCAGUAACGAAGCUAACGCGUGAAGUUGACCGCCUGGGGAGUACGGCCGCAAGGUUG